rnacentral:rRNA from 1 species
AUUGAACGCUGGCGGAAUGCUUUACACAUGCAAGUCGAACGGUAGAGGGGGCAACCCCUUGAGAGUGGCGAACGGGUGAGUAAUAUAUCGGAACGUGCCCAGUCGUGGGGAUAACGUAGCGAAAGUUACGCUAAUACCGCAUACGAUCUAAGGAUGAAAGCGGGGGACUCGCAAGACCUCGCGCGAUUGGAGCGGCCGAUAUCAGAUUAGGUAGUUGGUGAGGUAAAGGCUCACCAAGCCGACGAUCUGUAGCUGGUCUGAGAGGACGACCAGCCACACUGGGACUGAGACACGGCCCAGACUCCUACGGGAGGCAGCAGUGGGGAAUUUUGGACAAUGGGCGCAAGCCUGAUCCAGCAAUGCCGCGUGCAGGAUGAAGGCCU